rfam:Tepidanaerobacter acetatoxydans Re1 complete genome
CCGUGCUAGAUGGGGAGGCAGCGGUGCCCUGUACCCACAAUCCGCUACAGUGGGGUCGAAUUCCCUCUAGAGGUCUUUUCCCUGUGAGGUCUGGCUUUGACAAGUGGUGACGAUGACCGGGUCCUGCGCAAUGGAAACUUUCGAACCCCGUCAGGUCCGGGAGGAAGCAGCGGUAAGGAAGCCCUUUCAUGUGCCGCAGGGGAGCCUGGUCGGAGCUAACUGUCAUUGUAACGCUCGGAGGGAUGGAUCGACGGAGGGUGCACGG